rfam:Colletotrichum orbiculare MAFF 240422 contig02058, whole genome shotgun sequence.
ACAUACGACCAUACCCACUGGAGAACUCGGGAUCCCGUCCGCUCUCCCAUAGAUAAGCCAGUGAGGGACGGAUUAGUAGUUGGGUCGGUGACGACCAGCGAACACCUGGUGUUGUAUGUC